rnacentral:rRNA from 1 species
UACGAAGGGGGCUAGCGUUGUUCGGAUUUACUGGGCGUAAAGCGCACGUAGGCGGAUCGUUAAGUCGGGGGUGAAAUCCUGGAGCUCAACUCCAGAACUGCCUUCGAUACUGGCGAUCUUGGAGUCCGGGAGAGGUGAGUGGAACUCCGAGUGUAGAGGUGAAAUUCGUAGAUAUUCGCAAGAACACCAGUGGCGAAGGCGGCUCACCGGCCCGAUACUGACGCUGAGGUGCGAAAGCGUGGGGAGCAAACAGG